GCCCCAUUAGCUCAGUUGGAUAGAGUAGUGGUCUUCGAAACCAAAGGUCAGGAGUUCGAAUCUCUUAUGGGGUACCA
rnacentral:tRNA from 1 species